ACUCAAAUGAAUUGACGGGGACCCGCACAAGCGGUGGAUGAUGUGGAUUAAUUCGAUGCAACGCGAAAAACCUUACCUACCCUUGACAUGCCAGGAACCUAGCUGAGAGGCUGGGGUGCCCGAAAGGGAGCCUGGACACAGGUGCUGCAUGGCUGUCGUCAGCUCGUGUCGUGAGAUGUUGGGUUAAGUCCCGCAACGAGCGCAACCCUUGCCACUAGUUGCCACUCGCAAGAGGGCACUCUAGUGGGACUGCCGGUGACAAACCGGAGGAAGGUGGGGAUGACGUCAAGUCCUCAUGGCCCUUAUGGGUAGGGCUUCACACGUCAUACAAUGGCGCAUACAGAGGGUUGCCAACCCGCGAGGGGGAGCCAAUCCCAGAAAGUGCGUCGUAGUCCGGAUUGUUCUCUGCAACUCGAGAGCAUGAAGUCGGAAUCGCUAGUAAUCGCGGAUCAGCAUGUCGCGGUGAAUACGUUCCCGGGUCUUGUACACACCGCCCGU
rnacentral:rRNA from 1 species